CCUACGGGAGGCAGCAGUGGGGAAUUUUGGACAAUGGGGGCAACCCUGAUCCAGCCAUGCCGCGUGCGGGAAGAAGGCCUUCGGGUUGUAAACCGCUUUUGUCCGGAAAGAAAAGGCAUCCCCUAAUACGGGGUGUCCUUGACGGUACCGGAAGAAGAAGCACCGGCUAACUACGUGCCAGCAGCCGCGGUAAUACGUAGGGUGCGAGCGUUAAUCGGAAUUACUGGGCGUAAAGCGUGCGCAGGCGGCUUUUUAAGCCAGAUGUGAAAUCCCCGGGCUUAACCUGGGAACUGCAUUUGGAACUGGAAGGCUAGAGUGCGGCAGAGGGGGGUAGAAUUCCCGGUGUAGCGGUGAAAUGCGUAGAUAUCGGGAGGAACAUCAGUGGCGAAGGCGGCUAUCUGGACUAACACUGACACUGAGGCACGAAAGCGUGGGUAGCAAACAGGAUUAGAUACCCUGGUAGUCCACGCCCUAAACGAUGGGUACUAGACGUCGGGAAGCUUGUCUUCUUGGUGUCGCAGCUAACGCAAUAAGUACCCCGCCUGGGGAGUACGGUCGCAAGAUUAAAACUCAAAGGAAUUGACGG
rnacentral:rRNA from 1 species